rnacentral:rRNA from 1 species
GAUGAACGCUGGCGGCGUGCUUAACACAUGCAAGUCGAACGGUGAAGGCGGAGCUUGCUCUGCUGGAUCAGUGGCGAAUGGGUGAGUAACACGUGAGCAAUCUGCCCCUGACUCUGGGAUAAGCGCUGGAAACGGCGUCUAAUACUGGAUACGAGCUGCGAAGGCAUCUUCAGCAGCUGGAAAGAAUUUCGGUCAGGGAUGAGCUCGCGGCCUAUCAGCUUGUUGGUGAGGUAAUGGCUCACCAAGGCGUCGACGGGUAGCCGGCCUGAGAGGGUGACCGGCCACACUGGGACUGAGACACGGCCCAGACUCCUACGGGAGGCAGCAGUGGGGAAUAUUGCACAAUGGGCGAAAGCCUGAUGCAGCAACGCCGCGUGAGGGACGACGGCCUUCGGGUUGUAAACCUCUUUUAGCAGGGAAGAAGCGAAAGUGACGGUACCUGCAGAAAAAGCGCCGGCUAACUACGUG